rnacentral:lncRNA from 1 species
AUAACCCCCUAAUACAUCUGUUUUUAUAAAUUUGGAUUUUUAAAUAAUGGGUUUUGGUAGAAGAAUGAUUCAAGUUUCUGAAGGUUCUGGAAAUAUUGCAGCUGAGAUGAGGCUCUUUCUUUCCUUUCUGGCUUCUCAAAGCUUUUCAAGGAAACCCUGUACCCAUUAUCAGUCAAUCCCCAUUUCUCUCCUGUAUCCUUCCCUCAGCCCUAAACAACCCCUAACCUACUGUCUGUCUCUGCAAAUUAGCUUAUUCUGGACAUGUACCCUAAAUAGAAUCAUACAAUAUGUGGCCUUCUGUGACUGGAUUCCUUCACUUUUCAUAAUGUUUUCAAGAGUCAAACACAUUGUAGUGAGUGUCUUUGUAGUGAGUGUCUUCAUUCCUUUUUAUGGCCGAUUAAUACUUUACUGGAUGGAUAUACCACAUUUUCUUUAUCCACUUAUCAGUUGACCAGCAUUUGGGUUCUUUUCAUUUUUUGGCUAUUUGUAUUGAGAUACAAAUCCUUUAUCACCUAUAUGAUUUGCAAGUAUUUUCUUGUGUUUCAUGGGUCAUCUUUUAGCUUUCUUGAUGAUCUCAUUUGCAACACAAAAGUUUUU